GUGAACGCUGGCGGUAGGCCUAACACAUGCAAGUCGCACGGCAGCACAGUAAGAGCUUGCUCUUACGGGUGGCGAGUGGCGGACGGGUGAGGAAUACAUCGGAAUCUACUUUUUCGUGGGGGAUAACGUAGGGAAACUUACGCUAAUACCGCAUACGACCUACGGGUGAAAGCAGGGGAUCUUCGGACCUUGCGCGAUUGAAUGAGCCGAUGUCGGAUUAGCUAGUUGGCGGGGUAAAGGCCCACCAAGGCGACGAUCCGUAGCUGGUCUGAGAGGAUGAUCAGCCACACUGGAACUGAGACACGGUCCAGACUCCUACGGGAGGCAGCAGUGGAGAAUAUUGGACAAUGGGCGCAAGCCUGAUCCAGCCAUACCGCGUGGGUGAAGAAGGCCUUCGGGUUGUAAAGCCCUUUUGUUGGGAAAGAAAAGCAGCAGGUUAAUACCCCGCUGUUCUGACGGUACCCAAAGAAUAAGCACCGGCUAACUUCGUG
rnacentral:rRNA from 1 species